rnacentral:rRNA from 1 species
UACGUAGGGUGCGAGCGUUGUCCGGAAUUAUUGGGCGUAAAGGGCUCGUAGGCGGUUUGUCGCGUCGGGAGUGAAAUCCACUGGCUUAACUGGUGGCUUGCUUUCGAUACGGGCAGACUGGAGGUAUGCAGGGGAGAACGGAAUUCCUGGUGUAGCGGUGAAAUGCGCAGAUAUCAGGAGGAACACCGGUGGCGAAGGCAGAGUAUUGGACAGAAGGUGACGCUGAGGCGCGAAAGUGUGGGGAGCGAACCGG